ensembl:lncRNA
AGGCCACCGCCGCGCUGCCCUGCAGCCGUGUGAGGGCUGAGGGGACCUGCCGGCACCUCGUGCGGCUCCGGAGGAGAGAAACGGAGCGCCCAGCUGCUGCACACGCUACAAAGGUUCCAGCACUGUGUGGGACGGGAUUCCUCUUCUGGAAGCAGGAGCUCAGACAGGGUUUGGAACCAGAAAGGUGUGCUUCAGCUCCAACUAUUCCACAAGGUGGAAAGUUUACAACACGUCCCAGCACCAUUUGGUGAUGGCAGCCACAGAUGGACAGUGCAGCUUUGCCCCGUGUCACACACGGCCCAGGAGUACGGCCAGGGCAACACUGAGCCCUCCGCUCGUGAGGUUCUGCCCUGGGCCAACUGACCUGCACAGCCCUGGAGAAACCAACCCCAGUGAGAAUCGCGGGGCCAGAGGCAGCUGUUGAGGCAAUAGAUUUGAUUAAUUGCUUUGAAAAUCACCUGAAAUUAUCACCAAUGCCAAGCGGACAGUGGUGGAACUUGAGUACAGCUCAGGAAUAAAGGCUUAUAAAUGGAGAACUGCCCCCACUAGCUAUUUUUCAAGGCACGCAUUUUUUGGUAAUUCAAAGAUUGAUAAGCAUACCAGAACAGCCACCCAGAAGAUGAUCAGCCCAAAGUCCCUCUUACAAAGAUACAAAUCAAAAGGUUUCCAUUCGUAAACUUCGUAUUUAAAGAGCACAGGAAAGGGGAGCAACAGUAAUUAGAAGUCAUGUUACCAUUAAGGAGAUAACAGUCACAAAAUACCUGGUCUUGGGAAUCAGCCUGAUACCACAAGCACAUGAGAUCAGGGUGCAAGCCUGAUGAGUCUGAGGAAAGAGAGGAAAGAAGCUGCCAUGCUUGAAUACAGUUGACAUGACUUUUAUUCAUGACUUUGAACUUUAACUUUUCCUUACUAAAGAGGCAAUUCCUCAGAAAAAGGCUAUUUAGGAACACCACACAGUUUCUAGCUCUCAGCCAUUCCACAGUUAGACUCUUGAAGUGCCCUUUACUCUCCAUCAGCAGCGGGGGGUGGGAAAGGGCCAACACCGUUUCCCUUAAAGGUAAAAAAAGAAUCACACCAGAAGGGAAAGGAAACAAUCCCAGAUGAGAUUUUUGUCAAAAAAAAAGGAGCACAUAUAUUAGAGCACAUAUAUUGAGUCUCUACACAGCUUUAGAAGGGGUAGAGGCAUUGACAUGACCACUCAGGGCCCCUCCAAUGGCGGGGCUGCACCACGACCCUCCUGUGUGCCAACAGCCAUGCAGCAGCCACAACACUUCCAAAAGCACACAGAUCAUUGCAGUGACGCCUUAUUUCAGCUCACUGCUUUUUGGUUUAAGUCCUUAAUAUAACAGCAAUGCAAGGACACUGGGAUUUGAAAGAAAAAAGACAAACAUUUAUCAUGUUCUCUGUGUACAAGUCUCAAGCUGUGUUUAUGUGGUCACUGAAUUAUGUCUGACAGAACGUUAUGUCUGUGCCUCUCACAGAAACAAGGAACUUAGGAAAAUAAAACUGAAACAAAACGAAGUUAGAGUGAUUUAAAUACGUGCUAUUCUUCCUGGAAGGUACAGAAGUUAAACAGCCUGAAUUGAUUUGGACAGCAGACAGGAACUCGGCAGCACUCAGUGAGAGCUCCUCCACGCAGAGCACUUCAGCCCUGUUGGGAAACUUCAGAUUCCUUCCUCUGCUGCCACUGUCCGAGUGCUCAGUUUUUGCCAAUUAUCUGAGUGUCACGUAUCUUAAGAGCACAUCCAAUGAGACUAUAUUUAGACCGUCUGCUCAAUUCAUCUGUGCCAGAAAAGAACCAUUAUAUUAUUUUCAAUUACAAUUACCAUUGCCUGAAUUUGAAUUUGCAACAGUCAAUGUAAGGCUAGACAGUUCUUCCCAGUCCUCCGGGAAUGCUUUUACUGAAAA